rnacentral:misc_RNA from 1 species
AUGGAAAGACAUGUAAAAUGGAUCUGUUGAUGAAAAGUACAUAAAUGUGAACCAUAAACAGCUAGUUUGAUUUUCCAAUCAGAUAAAGUAACAACUGGGGCAUCUGAGAAAACAGAGGAAAUAACCUGAAAAUGGCACACGAUUAAGUUGAUUUGUUAAGAUUGUAAAGAAGAAUUAUACAUUUAGUAGUUAUGCUGCCCAAGCCAAAAAAAUUAAAACUACAAAAAGUUAGUUUAAUUCAAUAAAAUUGUCCCCCAUAUUAUUCACCUAGCAAGGUAGACAGAACGAUGCUACUUGGCCUAAUCACUUUGGCAUGCUACUAUUAAAUUGGCAUCUGUUUUGAGGGACAAGUUUAAACUCUCUAUGUUCUCAAUACAAUCAAAACAACUGAGGCAAUAUCUAGCACCUUCCAG